CACACCCUCCACCGCCUCAUUCCCUUCUUCAGCCCUCACGCUAACAAGACCUGGCUUUGCCUCCUCUCCACGGCUAGGUGUCAGCACUUGAAGGGUAAGCAACUUGUCAACAUGCUACAGGUCUCCAAGGAACUGCAGGAUAUGAUGAAUUCCCAAGUGUCACGUCUUCUACAACUAUUCAGGAACAAAAACGCCAUCGACGGAGACUGGGAGGCCGAAGAACAAAGCAUGCUGCCUGUGACGAUUUUAACUUGUGACGGCCAGAACAGACCACGUCCUAACUGAGGGUCUGAUGGAUGUCGGGUUGCUUGGUGGUGAACAUGGAUCUGUGCCCCAAGAGGUGUUUUAUGUGUAGGAUUCCUGAGGUGCGGUGUUGGGCCACCCGGUGACGGGGACGGGGGGGGGGUGUGGAAGCAGUUUCAGGCCUGGGAUUAAGAGUCAUUGAGGCUUCGUCUACACUGCCCAGUUAACCCAGGUGAGGGGUCAGCCUCACCUGGGCGUGAGCAGCCACACUGAAAAGCCCUACCUGAAUUGCUGUGAUGCCACUGAUGCUGCACUGCCCCCUGUGUGUCUGGGGGUGCAUCCCAGGGCCCUUUGGGCCAAGAGGCUCAAGGAUUCUUUCCCAGCCAACUGUGUCUAUUGCAGGAGGACUUGACUGUCCUUCAGGGUGGAAUUAUGGGAAGGCACGGGGGGACUAACAGCACUGGAGUGGUUUAGCCUGCGUCUUCACUGCAAUGUGUGGGGGUUCCUGUUCGAGCUAAAACAGGGCCAGGGCUCUAAUCCACACUCCCAGCCUGGUAAAAUAGCAUGGGUUUAAAGCAGCUCCAAACCUAGUCCCCAAGUUUUUCUGUGUGGACGGCAGGGGCAGCUGGGCUAAAACCCAGGCUAAGAAUUCAGGUUAACUGUGCAUUGUAGACAAACCAUUAUUCAGCCACAAGUAUAUACUCCUUUCUUUCACCAAUAUAAUUCAGAAUAUUAAAGGAGAACUUAAUGCAGGUUUCAGUUCAGGACUAUGGGGAGCGGCAGUCCAAAGAAACUGGAAAUCAUUCAAGAUGCUGAUUGAAGCCAUCCCUAAUAAGGGAUUAAAUAUUGCUCUCCGUCUGCAGUCCACAGGAGAGUGCAGUCCAAAGGAUGGGUGUCAUACGACAUGCACGGCCCUUUAAUACAAUGCAGAGACACAGUAAAAGCCAGAGACAGAUGGGAGGGAUCUCUCUGGUUUACUUUAACGAAGAAUCAGCGUUGGGGACCCGAGAGAGGGAUGAAGAUUCACCAGACUUGAUUUAGGCUGAAGUCCGACACACUGGCCACCAGAUGCUCUAACAGGAUUCAUUCCUGGGAGCUGUUCAGUCUUUUGUCUGUUUUCACUUUGUUUAACAGCUGCCCUUUGGAUUGUGCUACUUUGUGGGCUGCAGAUGGACGAAGACAUUUCAGAAAACACACUCAAACAUUCAUCUACUCAGUUCUGAUUCAAAGCAGCUUGGCUGGCCAUGUUCCUAGGGUUAGGAGAGUCUGUGAAUUGGUUUUUAGAGAACGCAACAUACCCUAACAUCAGAAAUGAUCAGAACUAAACAUUUAAUGAAAAGACCCACAACUUUUGGGAAGAAAUAAUUUUUCCAAGAAAAUAGAUUGGAAUGACAGGACCAUAUAAAUGUCUCUUCCUACUAAACACCAAAACACACUGAACAUUUGCAAGUUCCCCCAAGGAGCUUCACUCUCAUCUCAUCCCUUUGAGCAGGUGUUCGGAAGACUGAGAAGGAUGAGAGCAAUCCUCCUUUGGGGAAUUAGGGGGAUGGGGAUACUGAUAUGGUUUGUAUUGUGCUGUGCAGCCUGAUGAUUACUUCCCCCCCAUCCUGUAUAUGUAUGUUGCAGUUUGGGUUCCAUGAUGAUCUUGCAGCUGAUGGCAGGGAGAUCCUGGAACUCAGGAGAGGAGAAAUGUGUACACUAGUUUUAGCUCCAUCUUAACUUCACCCCAGGGUUCACCUGCAUAAUGGACACUCUGAGAUCUAGAUAGAAGGACACUGAGUACUGUUAUCCCCAUUACACAGUGGGGGAAACUAAGGCACAGAAUGGUUAAGUGAUUUGCUCAAGAUGCAGGAAACCUGUGGCAGAACUGGGAAGAGCACCUACAUCUUCUGAUUCCCAGUUCUAUGCAUUGAACUGUGUUAACCUCUCAAUCCUGUGCUUUAGCCUCACAACAUCCUUCCUCUUAAUAGAGGACUUCAUAGUGUUCAUUUGCAACCAGGCUGAGGCCUGCCUUUCCUGUCUGUGGGUGCAAUUUGUGUCCACACUUUGGCAGCCACAAAAGGAGCCAUGAGUAUCAACUGGAGUGGUUGUACUUCUAAAUAAAUUUGCACCUGGAAUCAAGAAGAUGUAGCUAUUCAGUUUUGCAUCGUGAACUGAACUCCAGGUGUAAACAUGAGGGUGCAAACUUCACCCACAAAAGGAAGGCCACCGUUCUGAAACGUACUGAAAGCUCUUGCAACAUACAAGAACAUCUCAGACUGGAAGCCUCCUGGAGUAGCUACUUCUUUUGUGAUUAGAAAGACAACCCAGAAAGUCAUAUCUGUUACCUUGAUAUGUCUGCAAGAUCAGUUGUUCCCGUGAAGUCAAGUUACUUCAGGCAGAUCAUCGCCUGCUGCAGAGUCCAUACAUUUCCCUUUUUAAAUGGAUUAAGUAAAGUAUCUCUAUUAAAUCAUAAAAAAUAAAAAUUGAAUUCUGCCAAGUCUGCUUACACCAUCACCAGCCAUCUAGCAGAAGAAAUCAUCCUCUCUUCUAUUUUAGUGGAUAAGCACUAGAGUUAUACAUGUCUAAACUUUACUGAGUCAUGACUAAAGGACAGGCUAAAAGCUGAUAAAUACUCAAAAGAAACUGCAAGGAGAGAGAGGAGUUAUUUAACAAAAAGGGGACAGGGAUAUACACAGGAAUACUUGGAUGAAAUGAAGACAGGAAAGAUGGUGGCUGAAUAUCUGGGGAAUCUUUACAAGUUACAACUGAAUUUAUAAACUAAGAAGUGUUAUAAGCUCCUCUUAUGUCCAAAAGCCACCCAAGUGUGUACAGAAACUACCCAAAACCUCAUCUACUUUCACCUUGAGUCACAAACCUGACACUCCAGCCAGGUUCAUCGUAAGAUCGAUUAACCUUCCAAGUGAAUGCAGAGCUCUACUGUGUUGUUGGAUUCAAUUUAAGAAAAGGGGAACUAAUGCAUCAGAUUCAGACAUAGUUGGGGACAGCUUUAAGAUGGAAGGUGCUCGUAACUUGGCAUCUACUUUCGUAUCCUUUUCUUUUACACCACAGUACCAAUCACAAGUGACAUGCAAAGGCACACAGGCCUUCUGUUGUAUCCAGUCAAUUUGUAAGUGGCCUUUUGGUGGGGGAGGGUGAGAGCGCGCUCUCCGCUGGGCUUGUUUAGCUGACCUCAGGAAAAGCAAGCCUCAUGAUGGAAGGUCUCGCCUCCCAUCUGGGCUGCAAGCUCUGAGAGGAGCCAGUCGGUCUGACUGCCACUAGCUUUUGCUUGCUUAUAAAUGCUGAGAACAUCAGAUAAUCCAGGGAUGUCAGGGUCAGCUGUUCUAACUGCUUUAUCAGCCAUAGAUCACUCCCAUGGCCAGCCUCUUUCAGGAGACAGAUUUCAAAUGAAUUGCGUGUGUGUUCAGUGUACUUGGGACACCGUGUCCCCACCAACGGGGCCUCUGCUCUUUGAUGCAAAAUGUUAUUUUAAAAGUGCCACCCUUAUUAGCUGUUCUCACAAUAUAUCUGAUGAAACCCAGAGGGAAAAGGCUGCAGAUUAGCAAGCACAAAUACAGCAGAAAUCCAAUUUUUUCCUGACUCUACAUAACAGGAGAAGUCAGUUCAUCCAUCUCACAGCAUGCUGUCUGUUCAAAUCGCCUGUAUCCCUUGCAAAUAGAAUGAGAUAUUCAUAGAGUUUAAAGUCAGAAGACACCAUUAGAUCAUCUAGUCUGCUGACCUAUGUAUCACAAGCCAUAGAAUUACAUCCAUUUACCCCUGUCCUGAGCCCAGCAACUUGUAUUUGACUAAAGCAUAUCUCUAGAUAUUGGCUCUUCCAAUUACAGCACAAUAACCCAAACCUGCCUCUUAUUUCGGGGGGGGAAGAGCGGGAGAAUUGAUGUAAACAGUGGACAUAACGUCGUCCUCCUUGCUUCUUCUCCUGGAAUGUGAAAUGGGAACACGGCUGUUGUCUGUGGCACAGACAGCUCCGUGGCUGUUGUGCUCUGGCCUUCUUUUUCCUGGAGGGUGACCAGAUAGCAAGUGAGAAAAAUCGGGACAGGGAGUGCGGGGUAAUAGGCGCCUAGGUAAGAAAAAGCCCCCAAA